rnacentral:rRNA from 1 species
UCCGACGGGGGGCAGCAGUGAGGAAUAUUGGUCAAUGGUCGGGAGACUGAACCAGCCAAGCCGCGUGAGGGAUGAAGGUACAGAGUAUCGUAAACCUCUUUUGUCAGGGAACAAAGGCGGGGACGCGUCCCCGGAUGAGUGUACCUGAAAAAAAAGCAUCGGCUAACUCCGUGCCAGCAGCCGCGGUAAUACGGAGGAUGCGAGCGUUAUCCGGAUUUAUUGGGUUUAAAGGGUGCGCAGGCGGAAGAUCAAGUCAGCGGUAACAUUGAGAUGCUCAACCUCUUCGAGCCGUUGAAACUUGUUUU